rnacentral:lncRNA from 1 species
UUUUUUUUUUUUUUUUUUUUUAAAAGGGGAAACCCCUGAUAUUUUAUUUAUACUAACGGAUAAAUCCAAGAAGGUGGAAAAAUCCCCAACCUUCAAUACAUGCUGAAUAACUAGGAGCUAUACCUACACAGGGAACUUGCGAAUGUAUGGAAAACCUAUCGCAUCCAAAUUUAUCAGCGACCGAACUCUACUUGGUAGCUGGUGAACAGAUUGAAAAGUAACAUAUGGGCUCUCCCGAGAUAACUCUGCUAAGCUGUCUGCCACGGCAUUCGCCUCACGAUGAAUAUGUGUAAUAGACCCCUUCACCUUGCCCAGUAACAAGCGAAGUUGACUUAAGACGCUACACAACGGCCACUUACCAACCGAUCGAUUCUGGACCAACCUUACCAACACUAAGGAAUCCACCUCUACCAAAAUCUCUGACAACCCUGCCCCCGUACACCACUGCAGCCCAGCACACAAUGCCAAGCCCUCCGCAUGGACCACUUCAUAUUCCCCAAAUUCCUUAUAAAAAGCACCAAUCAUUUUCCCUUCAGAAUAACGUACCACCCCACCACCUUUAGCUACACCAUUGAUCACACUUGCAUCUGUGUUAAGUUUGUACGACCCUCUAGGCGGCUUCAUCCAUGAUAUAGCCUUCAGACAGAAGGAUUUGGCUGGCUUGAGCCGGAAAAACCGUGCAAAAUACGUAUCCAUAUCCCCCUCCAACUGCGCUUUGUUUAACAUACAUGCUGCCCCCUUAGCAACCAACCACCCAUUGGCUUCGAAGAUAACUUGGGAAUGGACAGGGUGAAGAUUUUCAAACCGGGCAUCAUUUCUACUACGCCAUAGAAACCAUAACACCACUACCGGUAUUACACACCGAACAUGAUCCAAUCGGCCAUUGCUAGAUGAUUGAAACCACACCACAAGCAGUGAAGAAACACAUGAGAAUGAACGCCACUGAAUUCCGCAAGCCAGAAAGAAAUGCUGCCAAACAGCACUGGCUACCCUGCCAUGUAAGAAAAUAUGAUUCAAGGAUUCUACCGCAUUACCACAGCAAUCACACUUAGAAACCAAGGCCAUUCCUCUAGACCGGAGCUUAUCAUCCAGAGGGAGAAAAUCAGACAACACCCUCCAAGCUAAAUACGACAUUUUUAACGGAAGUAACGGACACCAAAUUCCACGGCAAACCAAAGACGUGUUGCGCCGCUGCCGAACUAGUUCCCAGGCUGACGACACAGAAAAUGCACCAUCAGCGGAAGGAGCCCAAAUUAACUCGUCCUUAAGCUUCGGAUCUACAAGUGUUUGGGAAAUAAUAUUAACAAUAGAUCGUGGAAGAACCUGGAGGAGACGAUCAGUAUUCCACCCCGUAGAGGUGUAAAACUCAGCUACCAAAAAGUGAGGAGGCGAACCAGAAACCUGGCUGCUAAGUGGUUCAUUGAAAAGCCAUCGAUCAUACCACAAAUCGAUGAAGCCUUCACCGAGCCGCCAACGAAUGUUAUCUUCAGUGAUCGCCCGCACCAAACAGACCCUCUUCCAUGUUGCCGACCCCACAGCUGCCGAAGCCGAACCUGGAUGUUGCUCGCCAAUGUACUUACGGUGCAUAAAUCUGGCCCAAGGAGAGCUCUUUUGACGUAUUGUCCACCAUAGUUUCAUUGCAAAAGCCCUCUCCAAAUCCAAAAGAGACCGAAACCCCAAUCCCCCUUCUUCCACUGGAAAGCAGACUUUUUCCCAAGAGGACCAAUGAAUCCUCCUACCAUCCUUGCCAUCCCACAGAAAGGCGUUAAACAGCUUGCCCAAUCUAAUAAAGACCCCCUUAGGUGGUUUAGUAACCUGCAGGAGGUAAAGAGGCAUUGAACUCAACACAUGACGAAUCAAUAUGAGUUUCCCCCCAGCAGACAGAAACCGGGAACUCCAAUGAUGAAGCUUUGCUCUCACGGAGGCAAUUACUCCAUCAAACAAGACAGUUUUGCUACGGCCAAGAGAAAGCGGGACUCCCAAGUAUUUGACAGGCCAAGGCUGCCCUUGAAACCCCGUUUCUUGCUGAAUUAAUUGGAUAACCUCCGAAGAGAGCUUCGACGAACACAGAAAGCGACUCUUAGAGAGAUUAAUUUUUUGGCCAGAGAGAGCUUGAUAGUCGUGUAGAAAGGACGAUACCGCCUGUAAGCAUUCAGUCGAUGCCCGGGUGAAAAUAAUCACGUCAUCGGCAAACGCAAGAAAUGGGACCAUCCCUCCCUUAGUCAAAAAUCUAAACGCUGGAUUGUUAGAAAACAGCCGUUGAAGACCCCUUCCAAGAAAUUCCGAGACAAAAAGGAAGAGAGUGGACGAUAACGGAUCCCCCUGGCGAACCCCUCUAGUCGACUUGAAAAAGCCGGUGAGUUCUCCAUUAACCAGGACAGAAAACCAGACGUUGGAUACCAACCGAAAAACCAGAUCCACUACCCCUUCUUUAAAACCAAAUUCUCGCAGCAUAUAUAACAAAAACCCCCAGUCCACACUGUCAUACGCCUUCUCCAUAUCCAACUUCAAGAUUACAUUAGGGUGACGCAGCUUUUUGUCCAAAUCCAGAAUCAAUUCCUGAGCAAGCAAAACAUUAUCUUGUAUUCCCCUGCCCGGAAUAAAACCAGUCUGAAACUCUAAAAUCAACCUAGGAAGGAGCUGGUUGAUACGGGUGGACAAAACCUUAGAAAUGAUCUUGGCACUAACAUUAGCUAAACUUAUUGGUCGGAAAUCUUUCCACUCACAAGCGCCUUCCCUCUUGGGGAGUAAAAUGAUCGUCGUACUGGAAAAUCCGCGUGGCAUUGUGGCACCAGCAAAAAAAUCCUGCACCCCGUCCAUGAAGUCAUCUCUUAUACACUCCCAACAACUUUGAUAAAAACCCCCGCCAAACCCAUCAGGCCCCGCAGCGCUCUGAGGAUCCAUUGAGCACACCACAGUAUAAACCUCAUCCACCGAUGGAGAUUUCAGCAGCAUGUCAUUCUCUUCUGGCGUAAGCUUAGGCAGCUCAAGCGAAGGCCUGCUCCCUGAACGAACAUCGCGGUCUGCUGUGAACAAAGAGGAGAAAAAAUCAGACGCUGACAGUUUAAUAUCCUCGAUAUUAUCAAGCCAACUGUCCCCGGGGCCCCUAAUUCGUGCAAUAAAAUUAGGGCUGCGUUUCUGCUUAACCGUUGCAUGGAAAAAAGAAGUAUUCGCGUCGCCCUCUUUGAUCCAUUUGAUUGCUGCCUUCUGUCUCCAGAAGUCACAUUCUAAGGCUAGCUCCCGAGAAUGGAGUGCCCGCGCCUCAUGUACUGCCGACCUAGACAACACGUCCCUAUUUUGAUCAUACAACAAUUCCUUGGCCAAUAGAUUAUCCGCUGCCACUUUGACCCGUUGAGAGACAUUCCCAAAAACAUCCACAUUCCAUCCAGCUAAGACUCGCUUAACCACCUUCAACUUAUUAAAAAAUUUCUGCAUUCCCAUUCCAGGAACAGGUUGAGCCCAAGCAGACUUAACUGUUUGUUGAAAAGUAGGAUGACUCCGCCAAACAUUAAGAAAGCGAAAGGACGACCGCCGCCUUGCCAUGCUGCCUCCCUUAACCAGCAACGGACAGUGAUCAGAUCGCCCUCGCUGAAGAUGAGCAACUCGAGUCAGCUCAAUAGAAGACAGCCAACCAGCAUUAACAACCGCUCGAUCAAUCCGCUGCCACAUACGCCCAUUAGUCCAUGUGUAGGCAGACCCAUCAAACGGUACCGGAAAUAGUCCACUCCGAUUUAAUGCAGAGUUAAAUUCUGCCAGGUCACGAAUAUUCGGGGCUGAACCUCCAAUCCUUUCUUCAACAGAAGAAAUAACAUUGUAAUCCCCUACGGCCAUCCAUGGGAGUGUAACAGACGUUGAAAAAUGCUCCAGAGCCUCCCAUAACUGUCGCCUACCAAUUCUGUUACACCGCGCGUAAACAGCAGAAAUAAAAAUGGAAGAACCAGAGGGGAAAGACACAUGUAUGUGGACCACCUGAUCCGCAGCUUCUACAAAAGAAUAUCGCGCAUCUGAACACCAGAAAAUCCAAAUUUUGUUGUGCAAGAAGGACUGCGCAAAAUCAAAACCCAAGAACAGCUGCACACUAUCCAAAUGGGAGACAUUAGCUAAUGGCUCCAAUAGGAUCAGUAAACGAAUAUCGUUUGAUCUACAAGCGCUACGAAUGUGCCUCAAUGACUCCUUAUUCGCAGCACCCCGAAUGUUCCACACUAUAAACUUAAUCGGAUCUAACAUUAUGGGACCGAAGGUUAUAAGGAGCAGCUGAAGGCUUACCGUCUCUUUUUGUAGUCUGCCUACCACGAGUCUUGUGACCUUGAACCAAAUUCUGCAGCAAUUGUGUGUCAGUAUCAUCCAGAAGAGCUCCAGGGACACCCGGGUCGUCGCUUAACUUAGAUGCUGCAAUUCUGCUGACCAGCCGAUCCCUAAAAUUUUUUAACUCAUCCAAAGAGAUACCUUUCAACCCUAACUGUCCCUCAGAGUUAUAGCGCACUAGACGAGCAUGACCUUCAUACCGUCGAGGAGAAAGGGAACAAGCCCGCUCGCGCUGCAGCAUUGAAGGCACAGAUUUAGUCAGCAAAAGAUCAUCUCGACCGAAAGAAGGAAUUGUGGCGGAUAAAGCUUUAACCGGAGAAGAAGAAUUCGGGGGAUAACAAGUCAGUACUGAGAGAUCAUUCUGUGUAGUCGCAGCACCCCCCCGAUAUGAAUCAGGGAGAACGGGAUCCUGAGCAUGAACAUUAGUCUGUGUAGGGUUACCCCUAGCAGGGGUAGACGAUGAUGAUGGAAUAACAGUAAUAGAGACAUCUGCAGUGGGAAUACUGCUUUCCUGCACUUGUACCCUUGGGGCUGUCACGACCCCCGAAUCCACCACAGGAGGAGAUUCUUCGACAGCCGGUCCUCUUUUCGGUUGAAAGACUUGCCUGCCUUGAGACGGAACCGGUGGUCUAGCGCGUCGCACAGGCCGCAAUUCCGGAUGCUUCUGAUGACAGGUACUUUCGACAUGACCAAUGGACGAGCAAAAACCGCAGUACGAAGGAUAGUCUUCAUACUCAAUCUUCUGCCAAAAACCCCACUGAUCAUCCCCUAUCCAAAUCCUGGAUCUUGGAGAAUUCAAUACAUCAACUUCCAACAAUAUUCGCGCUACAGACGGACGCUUCAGCGCUGCCGUAGCUUCAUCCACCUUUAAUGGUCGGCCCAGUAAGUUACCCAGCUUAAGCAGAAACUGCUUUUCAAAAAACGGCAAUGGAAGACCUGGGAAAUUGACCCAAACUGGUGCGAUGGACGACUCCGCUCCCGGCUUAAAAUCGAUUGUCCAUUUCGACAGAGACAUAUGGAAUUUGCCGAUGUACCAAGACUUUCGACACCAGAGUCUGGUGUAAUCCUCCUCCACGGAAGGUCGUAAGAGAAUAUGCUUGGAAUCUAAUAACCCUAUCGGACACUCACCCUUCAGCCCCAAAGAAACAACAAAUUUGCGAAUAGUCUCCAUGGAAGGCCGACCAACGGCAAACCUGCCAACCAGUGCAUUAGAAUAAGGUGCCGCUAUCUGUAACAUAUCUUGACGGGAGAUCACCAACGAAGGCUCCCCCUUGUAAGUACUGAGAUGGCCAAUGCCAGAGGACGAAGAAGACGGAGAUUGAGCCAGAACGGAGGCAAACGUCUUCGAAGGACGACCAAGAAGCGGCGCCUCCCCAUGUUGGGGAGCCGCCAUGAAACCCUACUAACCUUGCAAAGCCCGAAAAAAAUGGUGAGGAAGCCCGAUUCUAGAGAGAAAGCCCGAUUCUAGAGAGGAAGCCCGAUGUUCCUUUCUUCCCGUCUAUACUUCCUUAUUUAUUGUAAAUUUUAAUUUAUUAAUUUUCUUCUUUAUAUAUAGUUACAUCGUUUAUUUAUUGCCAUUACUAAAAUAUAAUUACAUCGUCUAUAUGUAGUUACAUUGUUUAUUUAUUUCCAUUGCUAAAAUAUGAACAAACUUUUAUUUUUUAAUCAUUCUAUACUUUAUAAAUUUCAAUCUAUUAAUUCCUUGCUUUAUAUAUGUUUACAUUGAUUAUAUCUUUCUUGAUUUUUUAGUCAGUGAACGCAUAAUUUUUCUUUUUUUAAUUUUCUUCAAUUAUGUUUACUCUAUCUCUAGUAUUAUACAUCGUCUAUAUAUAGUUACAUUGUUUAUUUAUUUCCAUUGCUAAAAUAUGAACAAACUUUUAUUUUUUAAUCAUUCUAUACUUUAUAAAUUUCAAUCUAUUAAUUCCCUGCUUUAUAUAUGUUUACAUUGAUUAUAUCUUUCUUGAUUUUUUAGUCAGUGAACGCAUAAUUUUUCUUUUUUUAAUUUUCUUCAAUUAUGUUUACUCUAUCUCUAGUAUUAUACUUUAUUAUUUAUUUCAAAAGUUUUGACAUUUUUCAUUUUUUAAUGAAUCUGUAUUACACAAUUUUAGCAUAUUAUGCAUACAAGUCCAUUUAAAUUUUUGAAAACUCCAUUUAAAUUUAAUAAAUAGUCAUUCUUUGCUAAAAUAUUCAAUUAAUUUUUAUACUCUCUUCAUUCAAAUCCAAUUUAGGCCAAAGUAGUUUUUUUAUAACAUUGAGUUGUAAAAGUUCUCCCAAACUACUUUUUUUAGUUUUAAAUAAUUUGAGCAAAUAAUAAGUUCAUCAUCUCUUUAGUUUACAUUUAAAAUUCUUUUUAGUCAUAAGAGAAUCAAAUGAUUAAUUGCACUUAUUUCCUAACAUAUCUCUUUCACUCAUACAUUGACUUGCCACCAUUAAUUAGAGUAAACAUAAUUGAAUUACGGGAUAAGAUUUUUUUUUUUUAGACAACUUCUUUUUUUUUAAAAAAUAAAAAUUUUAUUGCUGCAACCAACAAACAUACCCAGAUCGGGUCCAACCCAUUUCCAGGAGUACAAAUUCAAAACCCUGACCAAACCCACCACCCCCUACCGCCGGCACCUACGAAAGCUUGGGAACCCGUACACGUCCAAGGUAAUGUACCCCCUCACCAACCUCGGUAAAGCACUAUAAGUCUCAUAAAUGAUAGUAUGCCCAUCCUCCACUCCAGCGUUAGACAACCUGUCCGCCGGCUUGUUUGCCUCCCGAUAGCAAUGAGACACGGCUUCAAAAUACCGUCCAUAUUGCUGCAGCUCUCGUAGCUCCUUCUGCAAUCGCCAAGGACAUCUAACCUUCUCCUGAAUAAUCCAGACCAACACCAUUGAGUCAGACUCCAGAUGCAACCUAACUAAACCACGGGAUACACCUAAUCGAACACCAAAGAGAAGCGCUUUGAGUUCCGCUUGAAGGCUCGUAGCCUCCCCAAAAGAGCACGAGAAGCCAAGCAGGAACCUCCCCUCAGAAUCCCUGAACAAACCCCCACCGCCACUCCUCCCCGGAUUACCUCUUGAGCAACCAUCGGCAUUCAGUUUCACUACCGUCUGAGUCGGACCUUCCCAACGAAACUCCCGUUUAAUAACCUUGCAUCGCAGCCUAAAUAUCAUUUCAAAAAAAUCAAUUUGUGAACUACAAGGCAGAGGUAUCUCUCGAAACUGGAGACAGACGCAUUCUCUCAGCUCCAAGAAAAUCCGAUCACAAACAUGCACUACCGAGUCUAGCUUUCCCUCAAAGAUCCACAUAUUCCGCAUCUUCCAUAAAUUCCAACAAAUUAACGAUGGCAAUAUGCGGAGAACGAAACCAAGGUAUGGAUUAAUAUUAGGCUUAACCCACCAACUCAUCACUUUAUGUCUAAUCGUGAGAUAAGAUUCACUUGGAACUAAUUAUUAAGUUGUUAUACAACUAAUUAUUAAGUUAUUGUAAAUUAACCAUUAUUAAUAUGUUUAAUUUUAAUGUUUGCCUUACAAUAAAUACAUCAAAUUUUAUAAAAUAGCAUUUUAAGCUCUUUUAUAAUAAAAAAUAAAAAUUAUAGAACAUAAAAUAGUGCCCGUGCAAAUGCAUGAAAAAGAAACUAAUUGCUAAAUAAAAUUUGAAUAAUGUGGUCAUAUGAAAAGUUUCCAACCUAAAUGCAAUUAGGAGUAUCAGGUUUGUAAUGCAAGAUUAAGAAAAGCCUCGUGUUUAAAAAUAAUUGAUUCAAGGAUAUGACAUUGUGAGUGCCAAAAAGAUAUUAAUAAUGGUUUUGAGUUGGAAACCUCAACUUUAAUUCAUAAAGAAUGGAAAAAUGCAUAAAUGCGAACAAAAUGGUGAUACAAUCCACAUUUUGUAACCCAAAAAAGUAUUCACCAAGAAGUUCUGGCAGAAGAUUUUGAUAAAUAGCUCAAUGAACCAAAAUUAUCCCUUAGUCUAGCUAUAACAAGCAACUUGCACAUAAUGAGAAAGAAAAAACUAAACUUACAUAAGAGUAAAAUACUGAAACAUGAUUCUGAUGUCAUUGGGUUGAAACAUAUGUUUGCAGCUUUUAUAUUCUAACUGUUAAUGUCCAAUUCUAUCUAAUUAUUAUGCCUAGUAUGAUAAAACUAGCACAUGGGACAUUGUAGUGCUGAAUGUAAUUCAAACACGAGAUGUACCAUAGCACUUUUUCAUUUGGUUUUUUUAAUGGCACUAUAAGUAAUUCAAACCUACGGUGAAACUCGAGAAUGACAGAUAUGAUAAGUUAGGAAAAUUAGAUUUGCAAAUAAUGGAAAAAAAAGCACCUAAAUAUUUCAAAGUACUUUACACAUGGCAAUGAAAAUUUUCUGCCAUAAAAAAAGUUUACAAUCCAAAAACGUAGUUAAGUUAUUUAUUCAACGUGUUCAAAAUGCUAAUAUAUGCCACAAAAGGAAAAAAAAUUGCAUUCCAUACGAGAAAUUAUACAUAUUUCAUUGUGGAAUUAAGAAAAAAAAAAGAGUAGAAAAGAACUUGAAACUCAAACAUAUAAAUGCAUUCAUAGAGCUCAAACUGGAUGGAUAACAACGAUAAAGUAUGAUGACUUAAAAACAAUUCUGCCGACAAGUAAAUGACAUACAAAAUAGUUUAUUCUCAAUUAAUUUUUUAUGAUCUCUAUUUGCGAAUAGCUUUUGGCUUUAGAUUCUCCUUAGUGCUUUUAGUUGGAGAUAUAAUGUUAUUCAUGACUUACCAAAUCACAAGACUAUUCCUCCAAAGUUGCAUUUAAUGUCAUUCCACAUAUUUAGGAUCUAAAUGCAAAGAGAUUACUUUAAACUCAUUUUCGAUGAUCUGGACUAUAGGUUAAACAAAAUUUUUUCAGUCACCGGAAAAUGCACUGUGGGAGUAAUAGAUAUGAAUUAAAUGCCUUUUUUCAUGUAGGUAAUAAAAAUCGGUGCAAAAUGCUUCAAGAAAAGAUGUAACAAUCCUUUAUUUGGAUAGCUAAAUGACUAUUCUUAAAAGUUUAAAGAGCAAUUUUCUACAAUUAAUGGUAAUAUAAUUUGUAAUCGUAUUUGUGAGAGGAAAAUUUGAAGCUUGUGCUUUUGUUGUAUUAUAAAUUUAAUCACAACUUCUAACCAAAUUUAUUUUAACAACACAAAUAAAAAUCGUACUUGGUUAAAUAUUGAAUUCCGCUAUAUAAGAUUUUUGUAAUACUAACAAUAGUUGUUCUUGUAAUGACAACUAACAAUGGAAUAUAUUAUUUUGUUCGCUAAAUAAUAUUAGCUGAUUAUAUACGUGCAUAGCACAUGAUUUUUUCUAGUAAUUUGAAGUGUUCUAGAGAUACCAUUAGGAAUAAAGUUUACGAAAUGUGGCAUGAGCAGGUGAGCUUUGUCCGAUCUUUUAGGUUGGUAUAGUUCUUAUUAUUGGUAAACCCUAUUAAUUCUUUUUAAACAAACUUACUGCUUCAUUAGAUAAAAACUACGAUACAUUUGGCAAAUUCUACUAGUUUCCCAUUUAAAUGAGAUUCACAAUCUGGAAAAUCAUUUUUAUUUUUUUUUAUAAUCUCCCCGCAAUUUACAAUGAGUUCAGAGUGCUACCUUUGGUCAAUUUAGAAGAAUUUCCAUAAAGUCAUAAAAUAUCACAUAAGCAUUUUCAGAAGUAAUGUGACAAUCUUUUUAAAACGGCAUUGUGUGUCACUUGUCACCCGUUUCGAUGUUCCAUUGCCAUUGGAUGCAUUUCUAAGGCCUCGCUUGAAUAGUUAAAUUAAUUUAUGUUUCUUUUUUCUCAAGCCCUAAAUAUAAAUUUAAAAUAACCUAAUCAACAAUAUAAAGCAAACAAUUUAGUAGAGUGAAAUGAAAAGAACUCUGAAACACAUAAUGUAGUCAUAAUCGGCGUUUUACAACGCCUUUUUUUAUUUUUUCAAUUUUUUUUCUUUUUUUUGGGUUUUUUGUUUUGACUUUGAUGUACCCCUAACUAUUACACAUAGAUAAAAAGGAAAGAGAGAAAUUUACUACAUAAGACCCUAUGUAGCACGAAAAAACAAAGUAGACCCUGCACUGAAAACAUUAGCAGACACAACUACUGAUAAUCAUAGACUGAAUGGACACCAUUUUAUUUUGUUUUUCCUUUUUUUCAAUUUUUUUUUCUUUUAUUGCGGUACCAAACGACUGAAGGAUGAUGGUAAUGAGUGCAUCCACCCUAAUUAGGGCGAAUUUCGAUGCCCUUGAUAAUAAUGCCAGACUUCCAGAUUGUAUCACUGGUUUGAAAAAUCCUAGCUUCUACCGUGGAACUUCUUCCGCGGUUGUUGACGAAGUCACCCAAGUUCAAUUCCUUCCAUCCAUCACUACGGGUUUGAGGAUAUAUGCCCGGAUCCUUCGAAUCUUGUGACUUGUCAAUGAACACACUAUAGCCUUCGUCAUCAGUUCCCUUAGCCUUUUCUUCAGUAAAUCUAACCGAUGCAGUUGCUUUUUCAAGUCCCUUUGGCUUGGCAUUAAGUUUGAACACGAGAUAUGUCAAAUAGGAACUGCCCCUUGGGAGGUCCCUAGCAGGCACACUGGUUCGAAUGUCAAACCAGCAAACUUCAACAAGCUCGGCAACCUCGAAGCUGUACAAAGGCAUUAAAAUCAGUUUAGGAUAAUCUUCGAAAGUCAUCAACUAACUAAAGGGAGAAAGUGAGAUAAUAAUAUAAAUGCAAUAGGACUAUAUACAGGACGGGUAUGUGUGAAGUAAGUUCAGGAGGUUUACCCAGAAGGUACAUCAGUGUACCACUUCCAAUAGCGUGUAUCAUUACCGUGAUAAAUCACUAGAUCCCUCGCGUUGAUGGUGUAAGCCUGUGAUGGAAAAUUGAGCAUCGACAAGUUAAUUAAUCUUUAAAGUCAAAAUAACAAAAGACUGAUGAGUAGUUCUCGCAUUGAUACAAACUAAUAACGACUGUUAUAGCUAGUUAUAUACCAUGUUGAAUAGAUGCAGCUCUGGAGUAGUGUUGGAAGGACUGUACGUUUUGUGGAAUGAGGGAUUGAAGAUUGCGGGAAUGGAUAUUUAUAGGCCUAUCUGAUUAACUGACGUUUGCAGAUAUUUCCAAUCUUACCUCAUCAGAGAUGUGUAAAAACGUGUUUCGUGCUGGUGUGAAGGUCAGAUGCUGAUGUGAAUGAGGGUGGCCUUUCACAAAACCACAAAUAUGAGUAUAUGACCAAGUACUAAGCUAUACGCUCCGCCACUUGAAAGUGUAUCCAACCAACCUUAGUGUCAACAGUCAUAUAUCUUUAGCAUAGUCAGCUGUAUCAAUAUACACUAUUCUUUUCCUAAUGAAUUCACCUUUCUCUUUGUAGCGCUGAAUACAUUUGGCUAAUUCUCGUUUUGAUAUUUCACCUGAUUAUAAAUUAUGAUUUUAAAUAAUGUGUUUUUCUUGUGUUCUAGUUUUCUUUUUUGUCUAGAUCUUGAAUUUUUCACAAUCGGAAAAAGCUACGAUCUUGAAUCUAUCAAAGAUCAAACAGCUCUAUCCGAAUCCAAUUAUUCUCUGCCAUCUCUUUCUACGGUCAAUUUUUGUAAAAACCAUAGCGAAUGCUUAUGGGAAAGUCUUCUUUGCAUGUCUGAGGAUUGGGUUAAUUACAUCUACCUCCCCUGAGAUUUGGGCAAACUAUGAAUUAGUCCCUAACAUUUGGCCAAAUUACAAAACAGACCUUCAAACUCACGAAUCUAUAACAGCUACCCCCUUGUCGUUAGUCAGAAGACGUUUGACCAUUCAUUUGUAUGACCUCAACAAAUGGUAUGUAGUGAAGGUAACAAAGUACCCACUAUUAAAACUCAUCUUUUCUUUUGUUCUUUUAUUUUUUGUCUUCUACUGCCUUUGUAUUGUCGCCGGAAAAAAAAAUUUCAACUAUAACAGGGGAAGCACAAAUGGUCGCCGGCAACCAUGGCAGCCUGCCUCCACCACUUUCAAUAACUAAGGUUAGUGAUGUUAUCCGUCUAACUUGUAUUUUGUCUAGAAAUCUAUUUUCAUCAUGAAAAUUGGCAAAAAUUGAUCAAAGAACAACCACAUAGAAUGAAAACCGUGGUUGUUCCUACUCUUCAUCUUACUGAAUAACAAUUAAAAAUUACAAAAUUCAUACCAAAAUGAUCAUGAGAAGAAUAUGGGUAUUAGAAAAAAAAAAUCAUUGAAUAGUUACACCAAUUUCUAUUUAUCAUCUUAAACUCAAACCUUAGGAAAAAUCUAAUUAACAAGUUUUAUGCUCUUCAAAACUUUUCUCGAGAACUUGAAUUUUAAGGCAUCUAAAUCUUUCACGUUAUGAUUUGGUAGAGGAAUCAAAGAUGGGAAGAUGAUAUCAAUUGAGAGGACUUGGGUCAUAGGAAAUUUGAUUUGGGUUGUGGACGAAGAUAGAGGAGAACUAAGGAAGCAAAGAGGAAAAAGGAACACCAGUGGAUGGAAAGGACUAAUUGGAGAGCACAGUUCAGGGAUGAGGAGAGGAGACAUGUGGAAAAGGAAGAGGAGGAUAGUGGUAAAGGAUUUUGGCAGGGAAAAAUCUAAUUAACAAGUUUUAUGCUCUUCAAAACUUUUCUUGAGAACUUGAAUUUUAAGGCAUCUAAAUCUUUCACGUUAUGAUUUGGUAGAGGAAUCAAAGAUGGGAAGAUGAUAUCAAUUGAGAGGACUUGGGUCAUAGGAAAUUUGAUUUGGGUUGUGGACAAAGAUAGAGGAGAACUAAGGAAGCAAAGAGGAAAAAGGAACACCAGUGGAUGGAAAGGACUAAUUGGAGAGCACAGUUCAGGGAUGAGGAGAGGAGACAUGUGGAAAAGGAGGAGGAGGAUGGUGGUAAAAGGAUUCUGGCAGAUUUGGGUUUUCUUUUCAUUUUUCUUUGUGAGUACAAAUUGAUAACUAAACUAGCAUUGUGUAUUGGUUUUCUCCUAAAUUUUUUUCUUUAUAUUUUACUUUUUCUAAUUUUUUAUUGUUUUCUUUGUUCAAAUUUUUUACUCCUAUUUUUUAUUUUCUUUUAUUUUUUAAAUCAUUUUUAACCCUUUAAUAACGAGGGCAUUCAUAUCAUUUUAUUACUACUGUUAGUUGGAUUCUAACGCUAUUAAUGAUAAGGAAGUUAUUGUAAUUUGGUCUAACCUCGGGGAUUGAUGUACAGUUUGGACAAACCUCAAGGGAUGUAAAUGUAAUUAACCCCUAAAGAUUAGAUGAUAAAAUGAAAAUGGUGGAGCUGUUAAAGGGCACAAUUGGUAAUGUAAAAGAAGUGAACAAAUUAAAUCAUGAAGGAUAGAGCUUGCAUCGUAGGAAAAACAUGGGAUUUGUACCAUGGAAACUAUAACAGUUCGAUUUUUUUUCUCCCACAGUUGUUCAAAAAAUUUAGCAUAAUUUGUAUGAUUGAAGAAAACAAAAGAUUUAAAGAGGCAAACAAAGAAAAGGAUUGAAGAUUGCCAAGGAAAAGGAAUUAUUUGAAGAGUCUUAACGAUACCAUUAAGGAUAAAUUUAAGGAUACCGAGCAGGUGUAAUCGUGUUUUGUCCAAUUUUAUUUGUACGGUAUAAAUCAUACAAAAUUUAAUGUAAACUUACAUGACUUUCGUGUAGUUAUUGGUGCCGUUGAUGUAUGUAGAUUAGCUCUAUAGCACAUACAUGAAAUCUUGUAAUAAAUAUACAAAAUAGAGUCUUAUAACAAAUAUACAAAAUCUUGUAAGAAUUACGCUAACGGGAUAAAAUUGAAUAAAGCUUAACUAUACUUGUACCCUUGCAAAAUUUUUAUGUUGUGUGAACGCACUUGGUUGGUUUGACCUGCUGGCAAAUACCUAAAUGAACUCUUGUCCAAGAAAAACCUUUCCGACGCCUCUAGUUGUUACUAGAUACUACAUUAUAGACUCAUCACUUGCGGAAAAGUUGGGAGGAAUUUUUUUUUUUGGUCAAGGUCAAGACUUAACAAAAGGCCUUUAUGGGAUAGAAGAAUCAUUUUACGUCCAAAACGGGACACAUAAAAGUCUAUCAAGACCAAGACUUAUAAAAAAGACGUACACUAUACUGUACACUUACAAUACAUAUUUUAAAAAUAAAUUAAUUAGUUAAAUACUUGCUAAAUCAAGCAAUUUUGUCAAGACCAACAUUGUAAACAGCUGUAGACUAGUAGUAAUAUGAACAUCAAACUUAAAAGUUUUGAAAUUUCACAAGAUGCGACAAGUGAAAAUUGUGCAAAGUGACAUGAAAGCAAGAUUCUAGAUCAAAAUAGUUGUUACUUAAUUUAAAUUCGCAGAUUCAUUCAUCCAAACAAAAAUUUUCACAGAUUCAAAUUGAAAAUCUGAAUGAUAAAAAGACAAUAACAUAAAUUAGCCAAAAUCACUAGCGCAAAUUCCACUGUUCAUUUAAAAAAACUUACUAUUAUAAUUGCAAAGUUCACCUUGCCUUUCCUAGUUGUUACCACUUUUUUGGUAAAUCAUAUUAAUUUUUUGAACAAACUUUCUACUUCAUUAGCUAAGCACUGCAAUUCAGUUUGGUAAACCCUACUACUUUUCCAACAAAUGAGAUUCAAAAUUUGGAAACUAAAUUUUAUUUUUUUAUCAUCUCCGAACAAUUUAGUAUUAGUUCAUACAAAUUUUGGUCAAUUUCAGAGAAUGGUCAUAAAUUGAUAGAAAUUCAAACAGGUAUUUCUAGGAAGUAAUGUUACAGUUUCUUUUAAAAUAGGAUUAUAUAUCAUUUGGUAGCUAACGUGAUGUCCCGUUGACAUUCGAUGCACUUCUACGGCCUUUCUUAGGUAUUGCAAUUAAUUAGGGUUGGCACUUGAAACCUAAAAGAGCCUAAUCAACAAGGUUGAAAACAAACAAUUCGUUAAAAUGAGAACAAAAAGCUCCAAACCACACAACGCGCAGAUGUUACUUUGGAGUUUUGGAGGGACUAUUUCAUUGAAAGAGGAUUGAAGAUUGAGGAAAUGGAUAAUUAAGUGGCCUUUGUGGAUAUUUCCACAGUGGCCUCAUCAUGGACAUCAAAAACGUGUUCCAUGUUGGUCCUUCUCAUUCUUUUACACGUACUAAGAUAAACGUAAUCCUUGGCAAAAUUCACACCGUCGUUAGUUUAUCCUUCUAGUUGAAGGGCACAAAAUGUACCAAUCAUAGUAGUAGCUCCGACAAUGACAUUAGGUAACAUCAAUUGCUCAAUAUCCGUGAAUGCAAUGUUAAGUUAAAACUUAGAUUUUAUUUUUUUUUUGUCAAAUAAAACUUAGAGUUUAGUUAUGACUACACUGAACUGCUAAACCAUCAUCAGGUCACAACGUUGCCACUCCAAUUAUACCCAAAAGAUCAUCAUGGUAACUUGCAAUCAAUUUGAAUCACACACCAUUCUCGAUAUAACUAAAUCAUGGAAUAUUUUGAACCAUAAUUCACACUUCUAGAUCCUAAACAUUGAUAAAUUACAAGUAUGAUAGGCUUAUUUGUUACCUACACUUGCGACUAUUUUUAGGAGAAUAAGAAAUUCCAUAGGCCCAUUGAUCAAGGAAGUUCGUUUAAAUAUAUCACCAUGAAUCUUGUGAAAUAACAUAUUUCCAGUAUACACAAUCCGACUAGUUAGUUGAAUAUAUCAAAUAUUAAUUGAUAUGAAUCAAUCAUCAUAAAUGCCAAACAAUCAUAUGAAGACACCAAUCAAUCAUGUCAGUUACCUUAUGUCCAAAAAGAUUGAAUCAAUAGUUAGUUAUAUUUUCCAUAAAAAAAAAAAAACAAGCCUUCUUGUCAGUUAUGUUUUCCACGAGUAUCUUGUCAGGAAAACAAACCAUAAAUGGAGGAAUCUUGUAGACCUCAGAAGAAUGUUAGAGACGAGGUUUUUCCUUUGCACUAAAUUUUAAAAAUCUAAAUAUUCUAUUUUUUACAAGUAUACAGAUUGUUUAUCAAGAAUAGGACAUAUUAGGUAUCGAUCUCACAGGCAAGAUUGUCAAUUAUUGAUGAUUUUCAAGCUUCUUUAUUAUUUAAGUUAUCACAAAUACAAGAAAAUAAAUCUACUUUACAAUCAUGAAAUAAAAGGAGUAAAAAUAGCAAUAGAAAGCUUCUGGGGCUAUGGCAUUCCUAACUAGGGUGAUGAUAUCUCUAGAACUUACUCCUUCGAAAGACUCCUCAAUGUGAAUCAUUCAUGCUCAUCUCUUGAUGUUCAACCUUAGUUUCAAAGAUACAAUCAUGUAAAAUGGACAUUUCGUCAUUGGAACACAAAUUAGAUUCAUCAUUUUGAUCAAAAUGCAAUCCACUUUCACAUACAACAUUCCCACCAUUCACAAUAGGAUCAACUUACAUAUUAUUAGAAGAUAAAACUUCACAUAAGGCAUGCAAUUGGUCUUAAAUUCUACCAAAUUGAGAAGCUAAUUCAUCUAAUAUAUUGUCAACCCUAUCAAAUUGGUCAGAAGUCAUAUUAGCUAACCUUUCAAUUGCUAAUUUCCAAGACAAAAGUGCAUUAACUAACCUUUUAAUUGCUAACUUCCAAAAUGGCUUUGAUUCAAGUUGGACAAAUUCGAAUUGGUAAUUAUAAAAAUACAGAGGAGCAUUAUAUCCAUACUGAUUAUUUCAACUAUAAACAUAAGAAUUAUCCCAAUUAGGAUCAUAUUGAUCAAAACAAUGAUUGAAAGGCUCAAAUUCAUCAUAAUAAUCUACAUUUUGUGCGUAUCUACAUGUACGAGUAGCAUGAUAAUCAUCACACAAGUGACAAAUCACAUAAUUAGAAUUAAAAAUAUUAAAAUUUUUCUUUCUUUUUUUCUUUUUUUUUUAUUUGGCUAACCCCAUGCACGGGGAGGGACGCCACCCCUGAGUAUUAUUAAUAAAAACCACAAAAGACACAUACAAUGCCAAUCAAUCGAGCACAACCCUACUGCGUAUUACAGGAAUUCCUGCUCUAUCCAAACCCACGGCCCCACUAGCGGGUCUUGGUAACUCCGAAUGGGAGGUAUACAUGCCACUCAACAACCCUUGCGCCCCCACCUUAGACAAGAUGUUCGCCACCUGGUUUGCUUCUCGAAAACAAUGACCCACAGUCCAAUCCGAACCCAACAUUGAUUGGAUUGCCUCUACAUCAGAGCGAAUCAGCCAUGGACAUCUCGACUUGCCAGGGAGAACAUUUACUAAUCAACAUUUACUAAUGAACACCCACAGUCCACCUCCACCUGUACCCUGGAGACACCCCGUAACAGGCACUGCUGCACCCCAUAUAGCAACGACUUGGUUUCAGCUUGCAAACUUGUCGUCUAACCGAGGAGAAUGGAAAAACCAAAUAGCAAAUCACCAGAGGAGUCCCGAAGGACACCACACCCUCCACUAGGCCCUGGGUUACCUAAUGAACAUCCAUCCGUAUUUAACUUGUAGAUCCCCUGAAACGGCAAUUCCCAAUAGACCACCCUAUGGGAGUAUCGAGGCCUCCAUCCAUACAUACUAGAGUAAAAAGCAUGCCAGGAAACUGACAGGUUGUCAGCCUGUGCAAUAAUAAAACCUGCUUAAAUUAAAAGUAAUUUCUGUAGAUAGCGGUGAGCAGGGUCGAAUCCACAGGGAUUGGGGGUAAUUAUUUCUUUUCAAAUUCACAGUGACAAGGGGGUGUUUUUAUAUCAGGGGUGACAAUUUAAACAAUUCAACUAAAAGUAAAAUAAUAAAAAUAAAAUAGCCAACUAGAAAUUAAAUAACAAUUUACUAAAAUCUAAUGAGUGAUAAUUAAGGAUCAAGCCAAGGAAUAACUUCAGCAAUGGUUCACCUAAUUGAUCAUCGAAGCAAAGGCAAUUCCAAUUAUUUAUUAAUAAAUAGGUUAUAACUGUCAAACAAGCGAUGACAGUCAACCCCUCCUUACUAUAUCGGUGAUCAAGUUACACCUGUUAAUCACUUUUUUAAUUGGAAAACAAUCUUAGGUACGCCCGUAAGAUUUAAUUCCCCAAUUGCCUUACGUAUUAGAGGAGCCCUAUUCUAACCAAAUAACGCACUACCAGGGUUAUUUCAGAUUAGCCUGCAUAUCCUCCUGACACAAACCAAAUCAUGCCAGUUGUCACUAUUUCAAGGCAAUUAAACAAUUACAAAUUUAAUACCCUAAUUGACAAUAGAUUACCGAAUCAAUUAAUUAUCCGGAUCCAAAAUAAUCAAUUAAUUAAAUAACCAUAAGCAUAGCAAUCAAGAAAUAUGCGAAUACCAAUAAUUAAAAGGAAAAGAUUAAAUUAAAUCGAUCUCACAAUUUUAGGCGAAUCAAAGCCUCCGUUGUCCCUUGACUAGAGGGAAAAAAUUAGUUCAUAUUUGAUACUAAAAACCCACGCAAAGGUGUAGAAAAACCUGCGGCCAUUAUCCUUGAUCGAAAGAGUUCACUCCGUUCGAACAAAAGGAUGAAUAGCAGGUCUUCUGAGAAUGACUAAUUGGCUAAUUGAGUAAUACUUGUCUUGACAUACGGAGAAAUAAGAGCUACUUGAGCCCACAAGAAAAAGUCAAAAGAAGCUAAGCUAAAAGAGACACAAUCAAAAGCUAAGCUAAAGGUAGUGCUUGCCCUCUGCACAAUUUUCCUAUCUAAAAGUCAUGCUACUUGCGGCGGCUCCUGUGUGUGGAGAGGAAGAAGCCUCUCGACGACUGCCCAGGUUUGCUUUCUUUUCCCCUUUUUUAGUUGCUGUCUUCGGUCAAAAUUACCAAAAAGGUCUUGCAUCUCCUUGUUCCAAGAAUGCCCUUGAUUGCCUGCUAUUUGAACUCUUUCCUGAUAACUGUUAAAUUGGUACUUAUUAUGGUAUUUUCGUUCUACUCCCUGAAAUAUAUGCCAAAUACUAAAAGUGAGCAGAAUCCAGCAAUUAAUCCACAUUGGGUCAGGUAAUAGGGAAAAUUAAUAAUAAAAUAAAUGAUAAAAUUGCAACCUAUCAAUUCCCCCCACACCUAAACCAUGCUUGCCCUCAAGCAUGAGAACAACAAACAAAUACCAAUAUUUGAUAGUGGCUACUGCUCUAUCCACCAAAUUGCCAAGAUACCAAGAAAAAUAAUAAUCAAGCAUCGAUGGUCAAGUCCAAGAAACAUCACUCUGGUUAGCUUCUAAACAAUAAACUCUUCCAAUUUCAGGUUAACUAAUCUAAGAAAAAGGAGUGGUCGCUCAACAUUUAUCAGCGAAUGGUCCAACUAUUAACCAAAAUCUCAACAUUAAAUCCAUAAAUCGGCAAGCUGACUUUUAUCACACAUUAACACAACCAUUACAUUUUUUCCAUAUUUUUCUUUUUUUUUUCUCCUUUUUUUUUCAAUAGUAACACAAGACUUAGUCUUAUAGCCAUGGGAGCCUUUUGACGCGAACUCCAACAUUUGCCAGAUGAAGGAGUCUAGUUACUCAACUCCUAUCGCUAUACGACCACGUACUCAUAGAAAUUACUACUUUUUGACGCGAGAAUCGACACUUUUGGUGAAGAUCCCCGGUUACUCAGUAAUAAAAACUAGCUGAGUACAGCCAACUCUUAUUCUCAACUAAAUAACACAAAAACUCAAUAUAACACAAAAAUCAAAAGAAAAUUUGCAUCAGCUAUCCUCAUUUUCAAAUAUGGAGAACUAAGGUUAAUAACUGGACCAAUUCACAUGAAAAUGCCAACAAUCAUUCCCUAUGCCUAGGAAAGUUGACCAAAAGUUAAAAGAGUAAAACAAUCGCUGAUAUUCACCAAAGAGAUAUUCUUGGACUCAACCACAUUAACUUGAUACACUUUUAUUAUUAAAACUUGGCAAUAGCAGAAUUAGAGUCAACAAUCCAACAUCAAACUUUGGUAUUCAUUAAAAAAAAAGUAAACGAAGACUAGACAAAUGACAAACUAGCAAUAAAAGAAGGACAUCUGAAAACUAAAAACUGGUAUAGCUGUCCCUCCCCCCACACCUAGAUCCUACAUUGUCCUCAAUGGAGGAAAUAAAAUAAUUAAAGCGAAGAGGAUAACGAAACUUCCCCCUCGAGUGGUUAAGGGGUAUUUGGUAGCUACGGAGGGAAACCAACAUGGUGAAGGUACGAGGCCACGUUCUGAGACAUCCUUGCCCCUUGGCGGGCAAUGUUCGUCAUUCGCUCAUCUACGUUGUGAACCUGUGCUUGUAAGUGGCGCCACUCACCAUUUUCGCCAAUUAUCAUUCCAAACAACCAAAGACAGAAUAUCCAACAAAGAUAGCAAUCACAAAUGCACAUUCAUAGUCACUGGUGUUCCCCAACUCAACAAUCAAAAGCAAACAUGGGCCACCCAAGCCCAAAUAUGGUCAACAAAGCAACAGUUGCACUCCAAAAUCAAAAACCAGAAACUAUUAUCAAUAACUGGAAACUAGCAAAGUCACGUCAAUAAGCACAGGAACUACCCAAUUUAGUCAGUCAACAAGCAAACUUGGGACAUCCACAAUAUCAACAAAUGCACUCUAAGAUUGUAACAAAUGCCCCCAUCAGUCAAACCAUAACAAUUGCCCCAAUAAUAUGCCAAAUUCAGCAAUAGAGGUUCAAGAAUUUAGUAAUAGUAACACAAUCACAAGCCCUUGGCUAUCAGCCAAAUAUCCAAACAAAUACAGUGAGCAGAUUCAAGGAAAAACAGUCCAACCAGUACCACUGGUGAAAAAUUAAGUGUACCACUUCACCACCCGAAAUCGUAGCAAAAACCCCAAGAAGCCAACAAUUCAAGCAAUAAUAAUUCCGUAAGUUAACAGUAGCACCACAGAAAUUAGCAAUGGAAGACGACAGUCAAGGCACGCCCAAUAGUUCACUAGAAAGCGAAGAAAUCCACUAAUAAUGUCGCACCGAACCCAAAAGGCACUGAUGUCCCACAAUUGGAACAAAUAAAGAUAACCCAAACACCAGUGCAACCCCAGAUACUGGAACUCAAUUUAACAAGAUAAUGUGGCCAUGGAGGCUUCAAUUGAGUCUAACAAUUAAAUCCCAGAAAGGAUGCUCCAAAUAAUUGGGUAUAAGUUCGAGAGGGGUAAAUACCUCCGCCGCGAAUAGUGGCCAAACAAAAUCUCUGGUAGAGGCUAAAGGCGACGUAGCGAAGUGGGCAGAGGAGGUGGCGCGUUGCCCGAGGGUCAAGAGGGGAAGAGAGGCCGCAGUUGUGGCGGCGUGCUCCUUCGAGUGGCGGUGGUCACGGGUGUGUUAGUGGAGGGCUGCGUCUGGUUGCUGAGGAGAUAUCAAACGCACAAGCUCAAAACGAGAGAGGCAAAGGGCGAGCUGCUCCUGGGGUAGUGGAGGCGUCGCCUGUGGAUCGAGGACGUGGGCUGGGCUCGCGGUAGGAGGCAGCGGCAUGUGGUGGAUUUUCAGUGGCUGUCGCGGGCUAGGGAGACGGUGGCGAUGGAGGAGAGCAGCGACGGCGCUGGCUGCACCGUGGGCUGCAGGCUGAUGUCGUACGAGGAGAAGCUGGGGUCGCGGCUACUGGCAGCGCUGUUGGCGAUGCGGUGGCCAGGGAUGGAGAGAUGCACGUGGAGAGCUCUUUCCCGCGAACGUGACGCGGGCACGUCAUGAAAGCACGGAAUGAGGAGCUCUCCAGGUGACUUGAUGCGGGCACGUCAUGAGGACAAAAACCUUUUCUGACGAAUCUGACCAUGAGCUUUCCAGGUGACUUGAUGCGGGCACGUCAUGAGGACAAGAACCCCUUCUGACGAAUCUGACCAUGAUCUCUUCAUGGGACUUGACGCGGGCACGUCAUGAGGAUCGAAACCCUUUCUGACGAAUCUGACCAUGAGCUCUUCAUGGGACUUGACGCGGGCAUGUCAUAAGGAUCGAAAUCCUUUUUACUAAGUACCAGAAAAUCGCAAUGUGCCUCGCGCCCAGUUGACGCGAGCACGUCAUGUCAAAGGGAUGCCUAUGAAUCAUCAAAAACGAAAAUUGAAACCAUAAAUCAGUCAAAUCCAAGGAAAAACAUAUUUAAACUAACAAACAAAAAUGAACAAACAACUAAAAGGAAUUGGGUUGCCUCCCAAUGAGCGCCUUUCUUUAAUGUCUUUGGCUAGACAUCAUCAUAAUUUGUUCAUGGAGGAUAAAAUCUUGUGGCUCGUCUUAAUGCUUCAUCCUCUAUAUAGUCCUGAUAGCCCUUGUAAAUAGAAUAAUCCUUGAGCACACGAGUUACGGGCUUCCAUGGACUAGUAAAUGGCGCCAAACAAGUCAACGAUAAUUUGCAUUCUCCACUCACUCCUCCAUCACUUGCAUUUAUUGGUUCAAGAUAUCUUGAUAUCGCCACUCUUAAUUUAUUCCUGUCAUGAAAUUCAAAAUUUUCUGGUAUAAUAAAGUCAAUUUCAUUAACAGAAAUUGAAGAAUAAGAGUCAAGAGAAUAUUGAUUAAGGAAUGGAGCAGAUGUCACCGCAUUUGGAGAUUGUUCACUGGAUUCAUUCACUUGGACGCAUUGAUAUUGGGGUCUCAUUUCUUGCACUUCACUUUCCUUUUCAACUGCAUCUUUAGAUCCAUUUUCUUGAAACUUUUGCAGUCCCAUGUCAUUUGACCGGAUAAUUGCACUCUCAUCUUCUUCAAGGUUGAUAUUGGUUUGUGAGGGCAAUUUUUCAAGGUGAGAAGCUAAUCGCGCUAUCCUGGAUGUCAAUUGAUUCAUUUGAUCCGCCAUCGCUUGUAACUCCUGUUGAGAUCGAUAUGAAUUAGCAGUUAGUAAUUCUAUCAUUUCUUCAAGAGACAUACCUGACACGGAAGAUGAUUGCUGAGACUCUUGCUGUUGGAAAUCCAUUGGCCCGGUCGCAUAAUUAAAAUUGAAAUUAUCCCACCAUCCUUGAUCAUACCUGUUUGGAUAAGGGUCAUACCACGUUUGAAAUCGAGGUGGAAAAUCUCCAAAAGUAUAAAUUGGAGCACUUAGAUUCUCUUAAAAUGCAGGGCAUGUGUCGGUUGAAUAACUUGAGACAAAAUAAGUUCCACAAUUUGCAACACCCUAUUGAUCAUUAGGAAAAACACGAGUCUCAUAACCCCAUUCAGGAAUAAAGUCCAGUCUAUCAUCAAAAUACGGAAUGUUAGCAGCCAUAAACUAUAUAAAAAAAAGAGAGAAAAAUAAAUAAAAAAAAUAAAAACAAAAUGAACUCAAAAAGAAACAAAUUAAUCAGGCACCAGUCCCCGGCAACGGCGCCAAAAAUUGACAGGUUGUCAGCCUGUGCAAUAAUAAAACCUGCUUAAACUAAAAGUAAUUUCUGUAGAUAGCGGUGAGUAGGGUCGAAUCCACAGGGAUUGGGGGUAAUUAUUUCUUUUCAAAUUCACAGUGACAAGGGGGUGUUUUUAUAUCAGGGGUGACAAUUUAAAUAAUUUAACUAAAAGUAAAAUAAUAAAAAUAAAAUAGCCAACUAGAAAUUAAAUAACAAUUUACUAAAAUUUAAUGAGUGAUAAUUAAGGAUCUAACCAAGGAAUAACUUCAGCAAUGGUUCACCUAAUUGAUCAGCGAAGCAAAGGCAAUUCCAAUUAUUUAUCAAUAAAUAAGUUAUAACUGCCAAACAAGCGAUGACAGUCAACCCCUCCUUACUGUAUCGGUGAUCAAGGUACGCCCGUUAAUCACUUCUCUAAUUGGAAAACAAUCCUAGGUACGCCCGUAAGAUUUAAUUCCCCAAUUGCCUUACGUAUUAGAGGAGCCCUAUUCUAACCAAAUAACGCACUACCAGGGUUAUUUCAGAUUAGCCCGUAUAUUCCCCUGACACAAACCAAAUCAUGUCAGUUGUCACUAUUUCAAGGCAAUUAAACAAUUACGGAUUUAAUGCCCUAAUUGACAAUAGAUUACCAAAUCAAUUAAUUAUCCGGAUCCAAAAUAAUCAAUUAAUUAAAUAACCAUAAGCAUAGCAAUCAAGGAAUAUGCGAAUACCAAUAAUUAAAAGGAAAAGAUUAAAUUAAAUCGAUCUCAUAAUUUUAGGCGAACCAAAGCCUCCGUUGUCCCUUGACUAGAGUGAAAAAAUUAGUUCAUAUUUGAUGCUAAAAACCCACGCAAAGGUGUAGAAAAAGCUGCGGCCAUUAUCCUUAAUCGAAAGAGUUCACUCCGUUCGAACAAAAGGAUGAAUAGCAGGUCUUCUGAGAAUGACUAAUUGACUAAUUGAAUAAUACUUGUCUUGACAUACGGAGAAAUAAGAGCUACUUGAGCCCACAAGGAAAAGUCAAAAGAAGUUAAGCUAAAAGAGACACAAUCAAAAGCUAAGCUAAAGGUAGUGCUUGCCCUCUGCACAAUUUUCCUAUCUAAAAGUCAUGCUACUUGCGGCGGCUCCUACGUGCGGAGAGGAAGAAGCCUCUCGACGACUGCCCAGGUUUGCUUUCUUUUCCCCUUUUUUAGUUGCUGUCUUCGAUCAAAAUUACCAAAAAGGUCUUGCAUCUCCUUGUUCCAAGAAUGCCCUUGAUUGCCUGCUAUUUGAACUCUUUCCUGAUAACUAUCAAAUUGGCACUUAUUAUGGUAUUUUCGUUCUACUCUCUGAAAUAUAUGCCAAAUACUAAAAGUGAGUAGAAUCCAACAAUUAAUUCACAUCGGGUCGGAUAAUAGGGAAAAUUAAUAAUAAAAUAAAUGAUAAAAUUGCAACCUAUCAGAAACAAACCCAUCCGUGGAAUGUUGGUAACAUCACUUUGUUUCCUAAAAGGCUUGUUGGUAACCUACUAGCUGAAAUAAGGACUUCAAGCUAAUAGCCAUCACCAUUCUUGACAAUCAUAAUUAAUGGGUAUAAAUGAAGAUAUUAAACAUAAAUCAUGUUUAAGGAUGCAUCAUACCACAGAAACAAUCUUGCAUUCUCAGAAGUUAACAGGCUUCCCAUUUUCACAAUCUCUAUAUAGUAUGAAGUAGAACAGCAAAAAGGCAAGCUCUGAAUUAACAAUUCAAUUGCUCAGAAACUAUCAUAACUUAAAACUGAAAACAACCCAACCUUUAGGAGGAAUAGCACUUCAUCAUUCUUGAAAGAUCUCAGAUUAGAAAAAUUGCACUUAAAGAGGUGAACGCAGGGAAAAGUGUUCAGAAGAAAGGGCUGUGAUGCUUCCCGAAGGAGAGUAAAUCUUGUUUACAAACCCAGUUGAAGGAGAUUCAUAUGUAUGAGCAUCUUGCAAUUCUGCCAUUAUCCUCCAUACGUCUCCAGCUCCAUGAUAAGGACCUGCAACAAGAACAAACAUUGUUCCAGGAAGUAAAAUGACAUUAUAUCAGAAAAAAAAGGAAGAGUGAACAGAAAUAAUUGUAAGCAAUCAUCUAAAGAACGUUGUCCUCAUUGAGAAAUAUCAACGAACAACUAUGUUGCAUAGUCCCUCAAAUUGGGAUGUUACAAUAACAAAAAAACGAAAAGAAAUUUGAAUUGCAUUGACAUCAAAACAAUCUAGACUAAGCUAGCUGAUGAACAGUGAACUGAACAACAACUAUCCGAUUGCUCAAAAAGGGUUCAAAUUUUGCUAAAAUUAGUAUACUUGUGUAGUCAAUUCACAUAUGAAUUGCACGAACCAAUACAAACUUAUUAAAAAAAAAAACCUAGAAAUGUAAAUCACAACCUAGCUUAAAUAUACACUGAAAUUCGCUAUAUACAUGCGAAAAAUAAUCACAGUCAAAGAAGAGAUUUUUCCCACCAAGUAGAUUGCAUAGGGAUAAAUUGAAGAAGACUAAAAAAGAAAAAGCCUGAAACAUCCAUAGAUUGCACAUCAUUUCUUAUAAAUUCUAAAUUAUAGAUAGAAUAUGCAAAAAAAAGAGGUAAAAUAUGUUUUGAGGGACAAUGAAUCCUCUGCCACCAGCAACAACUUAAUUUCAACAGAAUCUAAAACUACCAUCUUAUUAAAUUGUUUCAUGAGUCACCAUCUAAUUAGCUGCAAAAUACUUCAGGGAAUAGUAGAAACUAAUUGUCAUAAACAUUAACUUACAUCUCUCAGUAGCAUAAUGUUGUUAGUGAAGCCAAUACAGUCAAAAAAUAUGAAGUCUCAGACACAAAUGCAAACAUGAAAAUAAAAAAGAGAAAAUAAUAAAAGUAAACAAAAGAAAUCAAGAUCAAACCAGCUGUAAAAGUGACUGUAUUUCUUUUUUCUUUACCCAAAGCCUCUAGCCACUCAGGCUAUAGAUGAUUCACCACCAUGAACAUCAAGCCUCAAACCUCACCACUAUAUAUUUUACCCUAUUAAAAUCACCCAUCUUGGAUGCUUUAAUUUGCACUACGAAGAGAGGUAAUUCAAAGAUAUCCAAUGCUUUAAUGUCCGGCUCAAAUGUAAUUUGGGGAUGGUAAGUAGAUGGCAAACCAAUUUCUAAGUUAAAUUCCAAAUUAAGAAUCAAAAUCCUAAAUUAAAUUUCACUGCACGUUUUUAUGAAAGAGAUAGAAAUUGAUUGAGAUUUGGGAGAACAUCUGGGAAGGCAACACAACUAAAGACGGAGAAUCAGUGAGAGAAGAAAAGGGAAAUGGGGGCAAACCUCGAUAAGCUUUCUCCGAUUGCUGUAGUAGAGAGGAGUGAGAAAUGCGAGGGGAGAGGACAAAGGAAGGUGGCAAUUUUGGAAAGAGGAAUUGUAGCAUCCUCCAUUGCAGCAUACUUUUCACACCGGCAUCGAUCUAUCCACAUAUAUCUCCUCAAAAGACACAUAUUUUCGCUUGAUUGGCAUUAUACAUAAACCAGAAUCGAGAAUUGAUUGAUAAAGAUAUAGGGAUGAAGCAUCAUGUUAGCAAUCAUCCACUGAUUAGGAUGCAAAGGAUACACUGAUUGGGAUGCAAAGUUCGCUACCAUUAAACAGGCGUACGGACUUAACUCAACCAGCAACAAGAGAGAAUAAAUUUGCAGAAGGAAGCAACGCAAAACAGGAGAAUGGAAAGUUUACCUAUUUUUCACAAUUCCAGCACUAUUAUACGAGGAUUCAACUUUGAUUCAGCCUACAGUAACAGAAAGUUACCUUCCAACGGCAGCAACAAAAGGUAGUCAGACAAAACAAAGUCCAACUAUUCCGCAGCCACACCACGCUCCUGCACAAUUAAGAGCAAGAUCAUAACCCAAUUAAAACAGACAUUAUAGAGGAGAAAUAAAAACUCUAAUCGAUAUGCAUACAACCACCGAAGCCACAAUAUAUUAAAAACACACCACCACAACUAAGCCACCAACGUUGAACCAGAAGAAAUCAAAAUCAACACAACAAACAAAAGCAGAACAAAUAGAAACCAAAAAUUUAAGGAGUCAAUUCAUUGCAGUCCAAUCUCACAGGGAACCAAAAAAAAAACCAAUAAAUAAGGUUGCUCUACGUCCACGCAUUGGAAACAAACUCAGUUCAAUUCAACCUGAAAAACGCAAGUGCAAAAGCUAAAUGGACUCCGUGCAAAAGCUAAAUGGACUCCUAUGGCAAAAUGGAGGAUCGAUCUGAAGUGAAAGAAAGAAAAUCAGGAGAAACUCCUGGGACCUUAAUGGGUGCCAAGAUGGCAGAACUACAAAAACGGAAGGAGAAACUCACGAAGGCUAAGGAUGAGGCGGUACAAUCGUGGUCAGAUUCCAGACCUGUGAUUGAUGAGCUUGACAAGCUACAGUCGGAACUUCCAGAUGCACAGAGUCGAACAGCCUCAUCCAACGUUACUAUUUCAGAGCUUGACUCUCAGCUUGAAAGGUUGAGUAUCUCUAUCAGGGCUAAGAAGGAGGAAGAACUGAAGAUCCAACAAUGAUCAACAGGAUAAAUCAGGUCUUGCAACAGACGCAGGAAGAGAUGGAGGAGUUCAAGAUGGAAAGAGAUGAAAAACACAGAACAGGAUUGAAACUAAAACGAGUUCUAUGUCUAAGGUGGCAGACUCUUCGCACUUUGCAACUCACCCUUCAAGCAAUACAAUUAGAAUCAGAAGCUUAUGUUGCAUCAGCUCAUGAAGCACAACGCUACAUCAGCCUUUUCCAGACAGAUGACACUCUGGUCAAGCUUACUCAAGAAGAGUACCAUGCAUUAACAAAAAGAGCAAGAGACGAAACUUCGUUGGCAGAAUGGCGAAUUGCAGUCUCUAUGGAACGAAAGCAGGCAGCCGAGGAAAGUCAAGAGACAGCUGCUAGAAGAUUGCAGAACUUGCAUUCAAAGAAUGGAUCAGGGAAAGGAAAACAUCCCGCUAAUGGGGUCUUAAAAGUUUAAAGAGCAAUUUUCUACAAUUAAUGGCAAUAUAAUUUGUAAUCGUAUUUGUGAGAGGAAAAUUUGAAGCUUGUGCUUUUGUUGUAUUAUAAAUUUAAUCACAACUUCUAACCAAAUUUAUUUUAACAACACAAAUAAAAAAUCGUACUUGGUUAAAUAUUGAAUUCCGCUAUAUAAGAUUUUUGUAAUACUAACAAUAGUUGUUCUUGUAAUGACAACUAACAAUGGAAUAUAUUAUUUUGUUCGCUAAAAAAUAUUAGCUGAUUAUAUACGUACAUAACACAUGAUUUUUUCUAGUAAUUCGAAGUGUUCUAGAGAUACCAUUAGGAAUAAAGUUUACGAAAUGUGGCAUGAGCAGCUGAGCUUUGUCCGAUCUUUUAGGUUGGUAUAGUUCUUUUUAUUGGUAAACCCUAUUAAUUCUUUUUAAACAAACUUACUGCUUCUUUAGCUAAAAACUACGAUACAUUUGGCAAAUUAUACUAGUUUCUCAGAAAAUUCUACUAGUUUCCCAUUUAAAUGAGAUUCACAAUCUGGAAAAUCAUUUUUAUUUUUUUAUAAUCUCCCCACAAUUUACAAUGAGUUCAGAGUGCUACUUUUGGUCAAUUUAGAAGAAUUUUCAUAAAGUCAUAAAAUAUCACUUAAGCAUUUUCAGAAGUAAUGUAACAUUCUUUUUAAAACGGCAUUCUAUGUCACUUGUCACCCGUUGCGAUGUUCCAAUGUCAUUAGAUGCAUUUCCAAGGCCAAGCUUAAAUAGUUAAAUUAAUUUAUGUUUCGUUUUUCUCAAGCCCUAAAUCUAAAUUUAAAAUAGCCUAAUCAACAAUAUAAAGCGAACAAUUUAGUAGAGCGAAAUGAAAAGAACUCUGAAACACAUAAUGUAGUCAUAAUCGGCGUUUUACAACGCCUUUUUUUCUUUUUUCAAUUUUUUCUUUUUUUUUUCGGUUUUUUGUUUUGACUUUGAUGUACCCCUAACUAUUACACAUAGAUAAAAAGGAAAGAGAGAAAUUUACUACAUAAGACCCUAUGCAGUAUGAAAAAACAAAGUAGACCCUGCACUGAAAACAUUAGAAGACACAACUACUGAUAAUCAUAGACUGAAUGGACACCAUUUUAUUUUGUUUUUCCUUUUUUUUCAAUUUUUUUUCUUUUACUGUGGUACCAAACGACUGAAGGAUGAUGGUAAUGAGUGCAUCCACCCUAAUUAGGGCGAAUUUCGAUGCCCCUGAUAAUAAUGCCAGACUUCCAGAUUGUAUCACUGGUUUCAAAAAUCCUAGCUUCUACCGUGGAACUUCUUCCGCGGUUGUUGACGAAGUCACCCAAGUUCAAUUCCUUCCAUCCAUCACUACGGGGUUGAGGAUGUAUGCCCGGAUCCUUCGAAUCUUGUGACUUAUCAAUUGACACGGUAUAGCCUUCAUUAUCAGUUCCCUUAGCCUUUUCCUCAGAAAAUCUUACCGAUGCAGUUGCUUUUUCAAGCCCCCUUGGCUUGGCACUAAGUUUGAACACGAGAUAUGUCGAAUAGGAACUGCCCCUUGGUAGGUCCCUAGCAGGCACACUGGCUCGAAUGUCAAACCAACAAACUUCAACAAGCUCGGCAACCUCGAAGCUGUACAAAGGCAUUAAAAUCAGUUUAGGAUAAUCUUCGAAAGUCAUCAACUAACUAAAGGGGGAAAGUGAGAUAAUAAUAUAAAUGGAAUAGGACUAUAUACAGGACGGGUACGUGUGAAGUUAGUUCAGGAGGUUUACCCAGAAGGUACAUCAGUGUGCCAUUUCCAAUAGCGUGGAUCAUUACCGUGAGAGAUCACUAGAUCCCUUGCGUUGAUGGUGUAAACCUGUGAUGGAAAAUCGAGCAUCGACAAGUUAAUUAAUCUUUUCAGGCAAAGUAACAAAAGACUGAUGAGUAGUUCCAGUAUUAAUGCAAACUAAGAACUACUGUUAUAGUUAUAUACCAUGUUGAAUAGAAGUAGCUCUGGAGUAGUGUUGGAAGGACUGUACGUUUUGUGGAAUGAGGGAUUGAAGAUUGCGGGAAUGGAUAUUUAUAGGCCUAUCUGAUUAACUGACGUUUGCAGAUAUUUCCAAUCUUACCUCAUCAGAGAUGUGUAAAAACGUGUUUCGUGCUGGUGUGAAGGUCAGAUGCUGAUGUGAAUGAGGGUGGCCUUUCACAAAACCACAAAUAUGAGUGUAUCAGAGUCCAAUUAUUCUCUGCCAUCUCUUUCUAUAGUCAAUUUUUGUAAAAACCAUAGCGAAUGCUUAUGGGAAAGUCUUCUUUGCAUGUCUAAAGAUUAGAUGAUAAAAUGAAAAUGGUAGAGCUGGUAAAUGGCACAAUUGGCAAUGUAAAAGAAGGAUAGAGCUUGCAUCAUAGGAAAAACAUUGGAUUUGUACCAUGGAAACUGUAGCAUUUCAAUUUUUUUUUCUCGCACACUUGUUCAAAAAAUUUAGCAUAAUUGAAGAAAACAAAAGAUAUAAAGAGGCAAACAAAGAAAAGGAUUGAAGAUUGCCAAGGAAAAUGAAUUAUUGGACGAGUCUUAAUGAUACCAUUAAGGAUAAAUUUAAGGAUAAGGAGCAGGUGUAAUUGUGUUUUGUCUAGUUUUAUUUGUAUGGUAUAAAUCAUACAAAAUUUAAUGUAAACUUACAUGACUUUCGUGUAGUUAUUGGUGCCGUUGAUGUAUGUAGAUUAGCUCUAUAGCACAUCCAUGAAAUCUUGUAAUAAAUAUACAAAAUAGAGUCUUAUAACAAAUAUACAAAAUCUUGUAAGAAUUACGCUAACAGGACAAAAUUGAAUAAAGCUUAACUAUACUUGUACCCUUGCAAAAUUUUUAUGUUGUGUGAACGCACUUGGUUGGUUUGACCUGCUGGCAAAUACCUAAAUGAACUCUUGUCCAAGAAAAACCUUUCCAACACCUCUAGUUGUUACUAUAUACUACACUAUGACCAUCACUUGUGGAAAAGUUGGGAGGGAUUUUUUUUUUGGUCAAGGUCAAGACUUAACAAAAGGCCUUUAUGGGAUAGAAGAAUCAUUUUACGUCCAAAACGGGACACAUAAAAGUCUAUCAAGACCAAGACUUAUAAAAAAGACGUACACUAUACUGUACACUUACAAUACAUAUUUCAAAAAUAAAUUAAUUAGUUAAAUACAUGCUCAAUCAAGCAAUUUUGUCAAGACCAACAUUGUAAACAGCUGCAGACUAGUAGUAAUAUGAACAUCAAACUUAAAAGUUUUGAAAUUUCACAAGAUGCGACAAGUGGAAAUUGUGCAAAGUGACAUGAAAGCAAGAUUCUAGAUCAAAAUAGUUGUUACUUAAUUUGAAUUCACAGAUUCAUUCAUCCAAAAAAAAAAAAAUUUUCACAGAUUCAAAUUGAAAAUCUGAAUGAUAAAAAGACAAUAACAUAAAUUAGCCAAAAUCACUAGCGCAAAUUUCACUGUUCAUUUAAAAAAACUUACUAUUAUAAUUGCAAAGUUCACCUUGUCUUUCCUAGUUGUUACCACUUUUUUGGUAAAUCAUAUUAAUUUUUUGAACAAACUUUCUACUUCAUUAUCUAAGCACUGCAAUUUAGUUUGGUAAACCCUACUACUUUUCCAACAAAUGAGAUUCAAAAUUUGGAAACUAAAAUUUAUUUUUUUAUCAUCUCCGAACAAUUUAGUAUUAGUUCAUAUAAAUUUUGGUCAAUUUCGGAGAAUUGUCAUAAAUUGAUAGAAAUUCAAACAGGAUUUCUUUUAAGAAGUAAUGUUACAAUUUCUUUUAAAAUAGGAUUAUAUAUCAUUUGACAUUCGAUGCACUUCUACAGCCUUUCUUAGGUAUUGCAAUUAAUUAGGGUUGGCACUUGAAACCUAAAAGAGCCUAAUCAACAAGGUUGAAAACAAACAAUUCGUUAAAAUGAGAACAAAAAGCUCCAAACCACACAACGCGCAGAUGUUACUUUGGAGUUUUGGAGGGACUAUUUCAUUGAAAGAGGAUUGAAGAUUGAGGAAAUGGAUAAUUAAGUGGCCUUUGUGGAUAUUUCCACAGUGGCCUCAUCAUGGACAUCAAAAACGUGUUCCAUGUUGGUCCUUCUCAUUCUUUUACACGUACUAAGAUAAACGUAAUCCUUGGCAAAAUUCACACCGUCGUUAGUUUAUCCUUCUAGUUGAAGGGCACAAAAUGUACCAAUCAUAGUAGUAGCUCCGACAAUGACAUUAGGUAACAUCAAUUGCUCAAUAUCCGUGAAUGCAAUGUUAAGUUAAAACUUAGAUUUUAUUUUUUUUUUUUGUCAAAUAAAACUUAGAGUUUAGUUAUGACUACACUGAACUGCUAAACCAUCAUCAGGUCACAACGUUGCCACUCCAAUUAUACCCAAAAGAUCAUCAUGGUAACUUGCAAUCAAUUUGAAUCACACACCAUUCUCGAUAUAACUAAAUCAUGGAAUAUUUUGAACCAUAAUUCACACUUCUAGAUCCUAAACAUUGAUAAAUUACAAGUAUGAUAGGCUUAUUUGUUACCUACACUUGCGACUAUUUCUAGGAGAAUAAGAAAUUCCAUAGGCCCAUUGAUCAAGGAAGUUCGUUUAAAUAUAUCACCAUGAAUCUUGUGAAAUAACAUAUAUUUCCAGUAGGGAAAAUCAUUCAAAAAGUCCCUCACAUUUUACAAAAUGACUUUUUUCGUCCCUUACUUUUAAAAAUGUACUUUUACAUCCCUUACAAAUUUAUAUUGAUUAAAUUUGGUUCCUAUCUAAGUUUCCGACUAGUUUUUUGUCGGAAUCCACCACGUGCCUUGCACGUAAUCAUUUUUUAAGAGCAAAAUUAUCAAAUCAAAAUUUACAUAAUUCAAUCCAUAGUCUCUCACAUUUCACAAAAUGAAUUAUUUUGUUCCUCACAUUUCACAAAAUGAAUUGUUUCGUCCCUCACAUUUCACAAAAAUGAAUUUUUUCAUCCCUCAUAUAUUACAAAAUAAAUUUUUUCAUUUCUCAUUGUUCAUGUGUAUGAAUAACUUUUUUUAAACUAAUUUAUAUAUCUAUUUGAUCUCACAUGGACAAUACAAAUAGCAUGUAAUAUAUCUCUAUUUAAUUUUCGAUUCAACAUACUGUUUAUGUGAAAUUAAAAUAGAUAUAUAUAUAGGGGUUUAAAAAAAUUGUUAGUUUUUCACUCAUGUUCAUUCCUUUUACUUGAAAAUUGAAAACAAAGAAGACAUUUAAUUCUAAACAUUAUCAAGUGUUUAUAUUGAAUUAAAUUUAGACAGAAAAAAUAAACAAAGGAAAAGUAUCACAAAAAGAAGUAAGUAAUUGACACUUUCAAAUUUUAAAAUAAUCAUAAGGUAAGAAAUUCAAUUGUUGGACUUAAAGGUAGUGAGUAAAAAUUUCAGAUUUAAAUUAUAAUUUGUUAGCAUGACUAUAGAAUUCGAAUUAACACCGAUUAAUUAGAUACUCUUAUUAAACAACUCAAUAAAUGAAUUAUUACUAAAAUAGAAAAGAUUACAAAUAUUGAAUAGAUUCACAUGGUGAAAUCACACACACACACACACACACACACACAUAUAUAUAGGUUUAAAACAAAAUUAUUAGAUUUAAACCCAUGUACAUAUUGAUCUGUUUAGGUGAAAUCAAAUAGAGAUAUAUUAUAUAUUAUUUGUACUGUUUAGAUAAAAUCAAAUAUAUAUAUUCAUGAAUUUUAAAAAAUAAAAACUAUUUGUACACAUGGUCAAUGAGAGAUAAAAAAAUUCAUUUUGAGAAAUCUGAGGGAUGAAAAAAUUUAUUUUGUGAAAUGUAAGGGACGAAACGAUUCAUUUUGUGAAAUGUAAGGGACUAUAGAUGGAUUACAUAAAUUUUGAUUUGACAAUUUUGCCCCUAAAAAAUGAUCACAUGCAAGUCAUGUGAUGAAUUCCGGCCAAAAACUAGUCGGAAACCUAGAUAGGGACCAAAUUUGACCAACGUGAAUUUGUAAGGGACGUAAAAGUACACUUUUAAAAGUAAGGGACGAAAAAAGUCGUUUUACAAAAUGUGAGGGACGUUUUGAACGAUUUUCCCUUUCCAGUAUACACAAUCCGACUAGUUAGUUGAAUAUAUCAAAUAUUAAUUGAUAUGAAUCAAUCAUCAUAAAUGCCAAACAAUCAUCUCAUGUCAGUUACCUUAUGCCCAAAAAGAUUGAAUCAAUAGUUAGUUAUAUUUUCCAUAAAAAAAAAAAAAACAAGCCUUAUUGUCAGUUAUGUUUUCCACGAGUAUCUUGUCAGGAAAACAAACCAUAAAUGGAGGAAUCUUGUAGACCUCAGAAGAAUGUUAGAGACGAGGUUUUUCCUUUGCACUAAAUUUUAAAAAUCUAAAUAUUCUAUUUUUUGCAAGUAUACAGAUUGUUUAUCAAGAAUAGGAUAUAUUAGGUAUCGAUCUCACAUGCAAGAUUGUCAAUUACUGAUGAUUUUCAAACUUCUUUAUUAUUUAAGUUAUCACAAAUACAAGAAAAUAAAUCUACUUUACAAACAUGAAAUAAAAGGAGUAAAAAUAGCAAUAGAAAGCUUCUAGGGCUAUGGCAUUCCUAACUAGGGUGAUGAUAUCUCUGGAACUUACUCCUUCGAAAGACUCCUCAAGAGGGGUUAAAUGUGAAUCAUUCAUGCUCAUCUCUUGAUGUUCAACCUUAGUUUCAAAGAUACAAUCACGUAAAAUGGACAUUUCGUCAUUGGAACACAAAUUAGAUUUAUCAUUUUGAUCAACAUGCAAUCCACUUUCACAUACAACAUUCCCACCAUUCACAAUAGGAUCAACUUACAUAUUAUUAGAAGAUAUAACUUCACACAAGGCAUGCAAUUGGUCUUAAAUUCUACCAAAUUGAGAAGCUAAUUCAUCUAAUAUAUUCUCAACCCUAUCAAAAUGGUCAGAAGUCGUAUUAGCUAAACUUUCAAUUGCUAAUUUCCAAGACAAAAGUGCAUUAACUAACCUUUCAAUUGCUAACUUCCAAAAUGGCUUUGAUUCAAGUUGGACAAAUUCGAAUUGGUAAUUAUAAAAAUACAGAGGAGCAUUAUAUCCACAUUGAUUAUCUCAACUAUAAACAUAAGAAUUAUCCCAAUUAGGAUCAUAUUAAUCAAAACAAGGAUUGAAAGGCUCAAAUUCAUCAUAAUAAUCUACAUUUUGUGCGUGUCUACAUGUAUGAGUAGCAUGAUAAUCGCCACACAAGUUACAAAUCACAUGAUUAGAAUUAAAAAUAUUAACAUUUUUCUUUCUUUAUUUUUCUUUUUUUUAUUUGGCUAACCCCAUGCAUGGGGAGGGACGCCACCCCUGAGUAUUAUUAAUAAAAACCACAAAAGACACAUACAAUGCCAAUCAAUCGCACACAACCCUAUUGCGUAUUACAGGAAUUCCUGCUCUAUCCAAACCCAUGGCCCCCCUAGCGGGUCUUGGUAACUCCGAAUGAGAGGUAUACAUGCCACUCAAUGACCCUUGCGCCUCCACCUUAGACAAGAUGUCCGCCACCUGGUUUGCUUCUCGAAAACAAUGACCCACAAUCCAAUCCGAACCCAACAUUGACUGGAUUGCCUCUACAUCAGAGCGAAUCAGCCAUGGACAUCUCGACUUGCCAGGGAGAACAUUUAUUAAUAGUAGAGAGUCCACCUCCACCUGUAUCCCAGAGACACCCCGUAAAAGGCACUGCUGCACCCCAUAUAGCAACGACUUGGUUUCAGCUUGCAAACUUGUCAUCUACCCGAGGGGAAUGGAAAAACCAAAUAGCAAAUCACCAGAGGAGUCCUGAAGGACACCACCCCCUCCACUAGGCCCUGGGUUACCUAAUGAACAUCUAUCCGUAUUUAACUUGCAGAUCCCCUGAAACGGCAGUUCCCAAUAGAUCUAGACCACCCUAUGGGAGUAUUGAGGCCUCCAUCCAUACAUACUAGAGUAAAAAGCAUGCCAGGAAACAAACCCAUCCGUGAAACCCAUCUGUGGAAUGUUGGUAACAUCACUUUGUUUCCUAAAAGGCUUGUUGGUAACCUACUAGAUGAAAUAAGGACUUCAAGCUAAUAGCCAUCACCAUUCUUGACAAUGAUAAUUAAUGGGUAUAAAUGAAGAUAUUAAACAUAAAUCAUGUUUAAGGAUGCAUCAUACCACAGAAACAAUCUUGCAUUCUCAGAAGUUAUCAGGCUUCCCAUUUUCACAAUCUCUAAAUAGUAUGAAGUAGAACAGCAAAAAGGCAAGCUCUGAAUUAACAAUUCAAUUGCUCAGAAACUAUUAUAACUUAAAACUGAAAACAACCCAACCUUUAGGAGGAAUAGCACUUCAUCAUUCUUGAAAGAUCUCAGAUUAGAAAAACUGCACUUAAAGAGGUGCCCUGGGCUAGCAACGCAGGGGAAAGUGUUAAGAAGAAAGGGCUGUGAUGCUUCCCAAGGGAGAGUAAAUCUUGUUUACAAACCCAGUUGAAGGAGAUUCAUAUGUAUGAGCAUCUUGCAAUUCUGCCAUUAUCCUCCAUACGUCUCCAGCUCCAUGAUAAGGACCUGCAACAAGAACAAUCAUUGUUCCAGGAAGUAAAAUGACAUUAUAUCAGAAAAAAAAGGAAGAGUGAACAGAAAUAAUUGUAAGCAAUCAACUAAAGAACGUUGUCCUCAUUGAGAAAUAUCAACGAACAACUAUGUUGCAUAGUCCCUCAAAUUGGGAUGUUACAAUAACAAAAAAACGAAAAGAAAUUUGAAUUGCAUUGAACAUCAAAACAAUCUAGACUAAGCUAGCUGAUGAACAGUGAACUGAACAACAACAAUCCGAUUACUCAAAAAGGGUUCAAAUUUUGCUAAAAUUAGUAUACUUGUGUAGUCAAUUCACAUAUGAAUUGCACGAACCAAUACAAACUUAUUAAAAAAAAAAACCUAGAAAUGUAAAUCACAACCUAGCUUAAAUAUACACUGAAAUUCGCUAUAUACAUGCGAAAAAUAAUCACAGUCAAAGAAGAGAUUUUUCCCACCAAGUAGAUUACGUAGGGAUAAAUUGAAGAAGACUAAAACAGAAAAAGCCCGAAACAUCCAUAGAUUGCACAUCAUUUCUUAUAAAUUCUAAAUUAUAGAUAGAAUAUGAAAAAAAAAGGUAAAAUAUGUUUUGAGGGACAAGGAAUCCUCUGCCACCAGCAACAACUUAAUUUCAACAGAAUCUAAAACUACCAUCUUAUUAAAUUGUUUCAUGAGUCACCAUCUAAUUAGCUGCAAAAUACUUCAGGGAAUAGUAGAAACUAAUUGUCAUAAACAUUAACUUACAUCUCUAAGUAGCAUAAUGUUGUUAGUGAAGCCAAUACAGUAAAAAAAUAUGAAGUCUCAGACACAAAUGCAAACAUGAAAAUAAAAAAGAGAAAAUAAUAAAAGUAAACAAAAGAAAUCAAGAUCAAACCAGCUGUAAAAGUGUCUGUAUUUCUUUUUUCUUUACCCAAAGCCUCUAGCCACUCAGGCUAUAGAUGAUUCACCGCCAUGAACAUCAAGCCUCAAACCUCACCACUAUAUAUUUUACCCUAUUAAAAUCACCCAUCUUGGAUGCUUUAAUUUGCACUACGAAGAGAGGUAAUUCAAAGAUAUCCGACGCUUUAAUGUCCACCUCAGAUGUAAUUUGGGGAUGGUAAGUAGAUGGCAAACCAAUUUCUAAGUUAAAUCCCAAAUUAAGAAUCAAAAUCCUAAAUUAAAUUUCACUGCACGUUUUUAUGAAAGAGAUAGAAAUUGAUUGAGAUUUGGGAGAACAUCUGGGAAGGCAACACAACUAAAGACGGAGAAUCAGUGGGGAGAAGAAAAGGGAAAUGUGGGCAAACCUCGAUAAGCUUUCUCCGUCAGCCGAUUGCUGUAGUAGAGAGGAGUGAGAAGUGGGAGGGGAGAGGACAAAGGAAGGUGGCAAUUUUGGACAGAGGAAUUGUAGCAUCCUCCAUUGCAACAUACUUUUCACACCGGCAUCGAUCUAUCCACAUAUAUCUCCUCAAAAGACACAUAUUUUCGCUUGACUGGCAUUAUACAUAAACCAGAAUCGAGAAUUGCAUCAUAUUAUCAAUCAUCCUCCUAUUAUUUAACAAAGGGUACACUGAUUGGGAUGCAAAGUUCACUACCAUUAAACAGGCGUACAGACUUAACUCAACCAGCAACAAGAGAGAAUAACUUUUCAGAAGGAAGCAAUGCAAAACAGGAGAACGGAAAGUAUACCUAUUUCUCACAAUCCCAGCACUAUUAUACGAAAAUGCAACUUUAAUUCAGCCUACAAUAACAGAAAGUUACCUUCCAACAGCAGCAACAAAAAGUAGUCAGACAAAACAAAGUCCAAGUAUUCCACAGCCACACCACGCACCUGCACAAUUAAGAGCAAGAUCAUAACCCAAUUAAAACAGACAUUAUAAAGGCGAAAUAAAAACUCUAAUCAAUAUGCAUACAACUACUGAAGCCACAAUAUAUUAAAAACACACAACCACAACUAAGCCACCACCGUUGAACUAGAAGAAAUCAAAAUCAACACAACAAGCAAAAGCAGAACAAAUAGAAACCAAAAAUUUAAGGAGUCAAUUCAUUGCAGUCCAAUCUCCCAGGGAACCAUAAAAAAAACCAAUAAAUAAGGUUGCUCUACGUCCACGCAUUGGAAACAAACUCAGUUCAAUUCAACCUGAGAAACGCAAGUGCAAAAACUAAAUGGACUCCUAUGGCAAAAUGGAGGAUCGGUCUGAAGUGAAAGAAAGAAAACCAGGAGAAACUCCUGGGACCUUAAUGGGUGCCAAGAUGGCAGAACUAUAAAAACGGAAGGAGAAACUCACGAAGGCUAAGGAUGAGGCGGUACAAUCGUGGUCAGAUUCCAGACCUGUGAUUGAUGAGCUUGAAAAGCUGCAGUCGGAACUUGCUGAUGCACAGAGUCGAACAGCCUCAUCCAACGUUACUAUUUCAGAGCUUGACUCUCAGCUUGAAAGGUUGAGUAUCUCUAUCAGGGCUAAGGAGGAGGAAGAACUGAAGAUCCGAACAAUGAUCAACAGGAUAAAUCAGGUCUUGCAGCAGACGCAGGAAGAGAUGGAGGAGUUCAAGAUGGAAAGAGAUGAAAAACACAGAACGGGAUUGAAACUAAAGCAAGUUCUACGUCUAAGGUGGCAGACUCUUCGCACUUUGCAACUCACCCUCAGAGCAAUACGAUUAGAAUCAGAAGCUUAUGCUGCAUCAGCUCAUGAAGCACAACGCUACAUCAGCCUUUUCCAGACAGAUGACACUAUGGUCAAGCUUACUCAAGAAGAGUACCAUGCAUUAACAAAAAGAGCAAGAGACGAAACUUCGUUGGCAGAAUGGCGAAUUGCAGUCUCUAUGGAACAAAAGCAGGCAGCCGAGGAAAGCCAAGAGGCAGCUGCUAGAAGAUUGCAGAACUUGUAUUCAAAGAAUGGAUCAGGGAAAAGGAAACAUCCCGCUAAUGGGGUCUUAAAAGUUUAAAGAGCAAUUUUCUACAAUUAAUGGCAAUAUAAUUUGUAAUCGUAUUUGUGAGAGGAAAAUUUGAAGCUUGUGCUUUUGUUGUAUUAUAAAUUUAAUCACAACUUCUAACCAAAUUUAUUUUAACAACACAAAUAAAAAAUCGUACUUGGUUAAAUAUUGAAUUCCGCUAUAUAAGAUUUUUGUAAUACUAACAAUAGUUGUUCUUGUAAUGACAACUAACAAUGGAAUAUAUUAUUUUGUUCGCUAAAUAAUAUUAGCUGAUUAUAUACGUGCAUAGCACAUGAUUUUUUCUAGUAAUUUGAAGUGUUCUAGAGAUACCAUUAGGAAUAAAGUUUACGAAAUGUGGCAUGAGCAGGUGAGCUUUGUCCGAUCUUUUACGUUGGUAUAUUUCUUAUUAUUGGUAAACCCUAUUAAUUCUUUUUAAACAAACUUACUGCUUCAUUAGAUAAAAACUACGAUACAUUUGGCAAAUUCUACUAGUUUCCAGGCAAAUUCUACUAGUUUACCAUUUAAAUGAGAUUCACAAUCUGGAAAAUCAUUUUUAUUUUUUUUUAUAAUCUCCCCGCAAUUUACAAUGAGUUCAGAGUGCUACCUUUGAUCAAUUUAGAAGAAUUUCCAUAAAGUCAUAAAAUAUCACAUAAGCAUUUUCAGAAGUAACGUGACAAUCUUUUUAAAACGGCAUUGUGUGUCACUUGUCACCCGUUUCGAUGUUCCAUUGCCAUUGGAUGCAUUUCUAAGGCCUCGCUUGAAUACUUAAAUUAAUUUAUGUUUCUUUUUUCUCAAGCCCUAAAUAUAAAUUUAAAAUAACCUAAUUAACAAUAUAAAGCAAACAAUUUAGUAGAGCGAAAUGAAAAGAACUCUGAAACACAUAAUGUAGUCAUAAUCGGCGUUUUACAACGCCUUUUUUUAUUUUUUCAAUUUUUUUCUUUUUUUUGGGUUUUUUGUUUUGACUUUGAUGUACCCCUAACUAUUACACAUAGAUAAAAAAGGAAAGAGAGAAAUUUACUACAUAAGACCCUAUGUAGCACGAAAAAACAAAGUAGACCCUGCACUGAAAACAUUAGCAGACACAACUACUGAUAAUCAUAGACUGAAUGGACACCAUUUUAUUUUGUUUUUCCUUUUUUUCAAUUUUUUUUCUUUUAUUGCGGUACCAAACGACUGAAGGAUGAUGGUAAUGAGUGCAUCCACCCUAAUUAGGGCAAAUUUCGAUGCCCUUGAUAAUAAUGCCAGACUUCCAGAUUGUAUCACUGGUUUGAAAAAUCCUAACUUCUGCCGUGGAACUAGCUUCUGCCGUGGAACUUCUUCCGCGGUUGUUGACGAAGUCACCCAAGUUCAAUUCCUUCCAUCCAUCACUACGGGGUUGAGGAUAUAUGCCCGGAUCCUUCGAAUCUUGUGACUUGUCAAUGAACACACUAUAGCCUUCAUUAUCAGUUCCCUUAGCCUUUUCUUCAGUAAAUCUAACCGAUGCAGUUGCUUUUUCAAGUCCCUUUGGCUUGGCAUUAAGUUUGAACACGAGAUAUGUCGAAUAGGAGCUGCCCCUUGGGAGUAGGGCUAUCAACGGGCCGGGUCCGGGCCAGAAUUCAUUAUUCCGGACCCGGCCCGAAUUACUAUACCGGAACCAGAUCCGACCCGUUUACCCGACGGGUCUUUUAUUCUAUGUUCCGGAUCCGGAUUCGGCGGGUCCCGGGUCCGGGUCGGGUCUACCCGCACAAAUUUAGCAAAAUUUAUAAAUUCUAAUAAAAAUGAGAAAAAAAUAUAUUUGUAAACUAAUUUCUAACUAAUGCAAAGAAAAAACCAAAUAAGCAAAGAA